GAGCACCGACGGCCACUAGUGCUACAUCGUGCUCUGGGUCGCCGCCUCGCGCCGGGGCCGGGCCGUGGACUGGGACGCCCUCAAGGAGCGGAAAAGUUCAGGCUCAUACGAGCCAACGACGAUGUGACUGUUUUGGAUGCUCUCUCCUUCAGCGCUCUCAAAAUUGGACUGCUUCGUAGCUUGACGGUUGAGAAGAAAAACUAUGUUCAGGUUGAAGGCGCUAAGGUGUUGGAGACGUGCGUGUACUUGUUGAGCGUUUUAUCUGUAGAAUGCUAUACUGUGAUUGGUGUAAUAUUGUGUGGUUAUAUUGUGAUUGGUGGAAUGUAA
rnacentral:rRNA from 1 species